rnacentral:lncRNA from 1 species
UAGAAACUAUAAUAUGAAACCAUUGGUUCGACAUCACGACUAUCUAAGAUUCAUAACAUGAAAACAAACAAAUAAUAGUAAUUUUCUAUUAUCACAGGAAAAAAACAAAAAAAAUAUCAAACAUUUUAACCGAAUAAACCAAAUAAAUAUUGAUUUUAAAUGAUAGUUAUAUUUUAGGAGAUUAAAAACCAAAAACCAAUUUAAAACCAAACCGAUAUCCAAAUUAAUGUCUCCUUAUUAAAAUAAUAACGAAACUAAUAAUCACAUUCUGCGCUAGACGCGGAUUAUUACCCAGUACAACAUGUAAAAGGAGACUCUAUAGCUAGCUAGCUAUAUAUGAGUGCUAGCUCGUUCGCCUAAAC